UACUGAUUUUUGGCAAAAAAAUCUGGUCCUGAUUUACCUCUCACUUAAUUGUGUAAGUGCUAUAAGCGAUAAAGUCAGAUCUCAUCAUCUGGAAAUAAUCGAAGAAUGAAAAAAUACUGUGGAAACGGUAAUGGGGUCUUGACCAUGAGAAUGCAAGCUUGCAGUUUAUCGGUUGAAGUGUUUCUGGUAGGGACUGGCCUUCUACAAGGCAGUGGCAGGAGAUUCUCUGGUGCACUUUGAACCCAUCUUUUUUGACUCUCUGUGACCAGACUCACACACAAGGGAUAAGAGCAGAGAAAACUCAUAGAAUCAUUAAGAGCUCAUUGAAAAGACCCACCAAAGGGCUCACUGGGGAUCCUGUCUUGGAAGAAGAGACCAGAAGAGCAUGGCACAGUUUAGCAAUACAAUGAAAUCUGAGGGAGGAGAAGAUUACUUUCCACAAGACACCAAGGAGGAAGAAAGGAAGAAAUACUAGGAAGAGGAGAAGAUUAAACAGAUGGGAAAUAUUGUCACAAGGAGAAAUGGUUAUAAAUAGUCCAGGAAUUAAUUUAGGCUUCGAGGCAGAAGGUAGUUUCUGGGUCAGGUUUCCAUGAAGGCAGUAGAUAAAAACAGGAAGGCUCAAGGUGGAGCCUGUUAAGCACUAAUUGUAGGAAAAGAGGCUUGUGAGAACCAGGAGUUUUUCUGUGGCAUAAGACCAUCGUUUUAGUCUGAAAUUCCUCUGCUUUAAAUCAGGAGGAUUAAUAGUUCUGCAGAAGACCCUGUUUCACAAAGCUGGUAAUAAGGAAGAUUGUACCACCUACUCCCCUAUGAAAAAUCACUUGGUGACUUUGCUCCGAUAUCUGGGUAGCCUCAGAAAACCUGUCUACCACUAGAUGGGUGAGCAAUUCCUAAGGAAACAGUGCUAGCGUAUGGACAGUGCAGAGAAAUUGAAUAGUUCUGAAAAAGCAGUCCUGGGACCAUUAUCCAACUGGUUUACAGGGAUAUCUCUACUUGCCCGUUUUAACCAUGAUCAGGGCUCCUAUAUCCCUACCUGAGAUUUCCCGAUCUAGAAACUGUGUACAGAAGAACAGGCUUCUCCCAGAAGAUGUCUGACCUGCAGGAAUGAGCUGUGUAUGGAGCAACUCAUCCAGCAGCUUAACCAGCACCUCCAAUCCGAAGCAUUUGCUAUACAAAGUGCAGCUUGAGGAUGACAGGUCAGGACUGUCUGAAGGAGAUGGCACAGAGAAAGCCACAUGGGGUCAGGGGAGAUCCUGCUGUCAGAAGUAAUAGCUUUUACGCUGAAGCAAGUUUCACAGAGCAAUAUGCAUGCAUUUGUCAUUACUGGGACAGCACUCUGCAUGGGUGAAAGAGAAGAGUCAUACGUUGUUAAAAACUACACUCAGAACAUAUCCAUUUCAGUCUCUGUUUACUACUGUUCAUUCCCACCAAAUAAACUGUUUUUUUCCAGAAGAGAAAUAAUGUAUAUACACACACACGCAGAUCAAUAAAUGAAAACAUAUUUUUAGCCCAUUAGUUUGUUGCAAUGGCAAUAGAUUAAAUCAACUGUAGCUGAUUGUUAGUAAGGUUUCACCACAGCAGCUAACUACUUCCUGGAGAAUUAGUUUGUGUAACUGUUCUCAUGUGGCAGACAUCAUGUGGCUGUGAAUUGUCAUGCCCUCAUGGGCUGCUGAAAUCAAACAGCUCAGUUGACACUGUCUCCCAUAAUAUACUCUUGCAAAAGCUGGUAGCCCAUGGCUUGGACAAGUGUACUCUACGCUGGGUUAAGAACUGGCUGGAGGGCCGGGCACAGAGAGUGCUGGUGAAUGGGGCUGCAUCCAGCUGGCGGCCAGUCACUAGUGGUGUUCCCCAGGGGUCAGUGUUGGGUCCAGUCCUGUUUAACAUCUUUAUUGAUGAUUUAGAUGAGGGGAUUGAGACCAUCAUCAGCAAAUUUGCUGAUGACACCAAGUUGGGAGGGAGUGUCGACCUGCUGGAAGGCAGGAGGGCUCUGCAGAGGGAUCUGGAUAGACUGGAAAAAUGGGCUGAUUCCAAUGGGAUGAAGCUCAAUAAGGCCAAAUGCUGGGUGCUGCACUUUGGUCACAACAACCCCCUGCAGCGCUACAGGCUGGCCGCAGAGUGGCUGGAGAGCAGUCAGACAGAAAGGGACCUGGGGGUACUAAUUGACAGGAAGCUCAACAUGAGCCAACAGUGUGCCCAGGUGGCCAAGAAGGCCAACGGUAUCCUGUCCUGUAUCAAAAAUAGCGUGGUCAGCAGGACAAGGGAAGUGAUCCUUCCCCUGUACUCUGCAUUGGUGAGGCCACACCUGGAGUAUUGUGUUCAGUUCUGGGCCCCUCAGUUCAGGAAAGACAUUGAAGUGCUGGAGCGGGUCCAGAGAAGAGCAACA